CGAGCGCGGGAAGCAAGCGGAUCCCCUUCGGGGGUGAAGCUUGUGGAACGAGCGGCGGACGGGUGAGUAACACGUGGGCAACCUGCCUGUAAGAACCGGAAUAACCCCGGGAAACCGGGGCUAAUGCCGGGUAACACCUACCUUCGCAUGAAGGAAGGUUAAAAGAUGGCUUCUNGCUAUCACUUACAGAUGGGCCCGCGGCGCAUUAGCUAGUUGGUGAGGUAACAGCUCACCAAGGCGACGAUGCGUAGCCGACCUGAGAGGGUGAUCGGCCACACUGGGACUGAGACACGGCCCAGACUCCUACGGGAGGCAGCAGUAGGGAAUCUUCCGCAAUGGACGAAAGUCUGACGGAAGCAACGCCGCGUGAACGAUGAAGGUCUUCGGAUCGUAAAGUUCUGUUGUUAGGGAAGAAACAAGUACCGUGCGAAUAGAGCGGUACCUUGACGGUACCUAACGAGGAAGCCCCGGCUAACUACGUGCCAGCAGCCGCGGUAAUACGUAGGGGGCAAGCGUUGUCCGGAAUUAUUGGGCGUAAAGCGCGCGCAGGCGGUUUCUUAAGUCUGA
rnacentral:rRNA from 1 species